rnacentral:SRP_RNA from 1 species
GCUGGGUGUGGUGGUGCACACCUGUAAUCCCAGCUAUGCGGGAGGCUAAGGCAGGAGAAUCACUUGAACCCAGGAAGCAGAGGCUGCAGUGAGCCAAGAUUGCAACACUGCACUCUAGCCUGGGUGACAGAGAGAGAUUCUGUCUUG